CUGAAAUAGGAGGACUAGGAUAAACUAAGUAGCUUCACGUGGAGAUGUAUUUGAAAUGCAAAAGAAGGAAGAAAAUAGACAUGUCUACAUUAUAAGUGAGAUUUAACUAACAUUUCUGUUUCAGAAUGGCCUGCACUCCAGAGCUGGGGAAGGGAAAAUGAUGAAUCCAUCCCCAUUUCAUUGGCUUAACUUCCCGUCUGCUUUUCUGAUUUUCUAGAUUGACAUUAGAGGUGCAUACGUCCUGGGUAUCUAUCUACAUUUGACGUCAUUUGAUCCCUGGAAGGACAGCGCACCUCAGAAGCACAGAGCAGAAUAAAGGGUCUGCUGGACACGCAGUUGGAGCGUAUGAAUCAACAGAUGUAGCUCACAGAACCACACCUCCCAGGAUUUACGUGGCAUUCAUACUCUCCAAUAUAGUCCAUUCAAAACACAGGCUCCAGCGACCCUGGGAGAUUCAGGUGAAGAAAGACAGGCCACAUAAGGUGUAAACCCUUUGUGGUCCUAGGCCAAAAGGUGUGGUGAAGAACAUUGCUUUAGGGAACACCUACCAUGGCUGUGGGUAUGACGGCCAGACCCUUCAACCUCUAUUAAUUCCGUCUUGAGAGGAAACUCAAAUCAUAAUGGCUGCUGAGUAUAUCCUAUGCAAUUGGAAAGGCCACAUUUGGCCAGCAAAGGUUUUUGUCCAGAU
rnacentral:lncRNA from 1 species